rnacentral:tRNA from 1 species
GGAGGUGUACCCAAGUGGCCAAAGGGGGCAGACUGUAAAUCUGUUGUCUCAGACUUCAGUGGUUCAAAUCCACUCACCUCCACCA